GAAAGGUUCUGACAAGGCAAGAUGCCUGCUUUCCAGCUAACAGUUCCCUGAUUUGUCUUUUGGCAACACUGAAGGCAAGCAUAUCAGUGUUUUAAAAACGAAGCUGAGGUUUGAAAGUUCUCCAACAGGUAGCUGGAUAAAAAUAACUUCAAG